GACGGAGGAUGCAAGCGUUAUCCGGAAUGAUUGGGCGUAAAGCGUCCGCAGGUGGCAGUUCAAGUCUGCUGUCAAAGACCGGGGCUUAACUUCGGAAAGGCAGUGGAAACUGAACAGCUAGAGUAUGGUAGGGGCAGAGGGAAUUCCUGGUGUAGCGGUGAAAUGCGUAGAGAUCAGGAAGAACAUCGGUGGCGAAGGCGACUUACUGGACGACUGUUGACACUGAGGUGCGAAAGCGUGGGGAGCAAACAGG
rnacentral:rRNA from 1 species